rnacentral:misc_RNA from 1 species
CGCAACUUGCGCCCUCUGGUAUUCCGGAGGGCAUGCCUGUUUGAGUGUCAUGUAGACUCAUCUACUCGGGUUUCCGAGCCAGAUGGAUGUGGGGGUUUGCCUGAUGGCUCUCCUUAAAAGCCUAGUGCAGACGUAAUAAGUUUCGUCGUACGCAUUUUAUUCUAUUUGUACUCUGGCCUCAAAUCAGGUAGGGCUACCCGCUGAACUUAA